rnacentral:lncRNA from 1 species
AGUAUAUGCAUAUGCAAAUAUAGAAGUGUGGAAAUUGAAUGACCACCUCUGAUGACAUCUUAAACAAUAACCUAAACAUCAGAGAAAGAACUUCUGGUGUGAUUCCUGCAUCUUCUUGCCACUUCUGUGGACUCCAACCAAUGGGAAUACCUCUCAGUUUACAAUGUAUUGAACUGCAACUGCCAUUUCACAUGUGCUGUCUGCCAAGUGGACUGAACUGAGAACAAUGAAGAUGGAAAUCACCCCAAAGAACAAUUUCUAAACUAGUCCACUUUCCCCAUAUCCUAAUGAUCUUUCUUUUCUACUACCUCUGACUCUGUUGACUGACUGAGCUGGCUUGGUCAGAUGGCACCUCAAUGUUGGAAUGCAAGUACAAAAGUGGUCAAUCAACUGGCUUUGUUGUUGCUGUUGUUGUUGUUGACAUCACCGUCCUUGUCGUCAUUGUUUCCUGUGCUGGCAGAGCCUCUGAGAGAACAGCAGUACCAAGUUCCUGUCUACAAGAACAUCUUGGCAUCAGCAAUAGUGUCAGAGUUUUCGGCAGAUGGGAAGGAUCCAAAGUGAGGUGGUCUCUGGAUGACCUUUCCUUCAAUCUCUGCUGCUCCAUUUUCAUCCCUGCCUGUACCUUACACAGGGAUGAUUUUGUGUUAAAAGUUUGGGAGGAAUGGGUGGCCCCAUACCUCAAGUGGGAGCCAUGUGGUUUUAUUGGAUGUGGCUCUAUCUCCCUGUGGUUGGGCAUUUUGGUUAAGGAUCCCCAUUGGAUCCUGAGAACCUCUCACUUUUCUGGCAUCAUGGACUUUCUAGUGGUUUCUACCCUCAUUCAUGGCCCCCCACUGCUAGAUACUUUUAUUUAUUUUCCUGGCCCUCUGGACUUCUCUCUUGUUUCUUUCCAUAACCAAUCCUACCCCCAGAUUUUCCAUCUCCUUGCCUUCUCCUACUCAGGUCCUUCUCUCCUUUUGCCCUAUGAUUAUUUUGUUUACCUUCUAAAUGGGACUAAAACAUCAA